AGCCAUUAGAUGAUACUAAAUGGUUUUACCUGCCCAAUGUUACGAUGAAUGGCCGCGGUACCCUGACCGUGCUAAGGUAGCGUAAUCAGUUGACCUUUAAAUGAGGUCAGGAAUGAAUGGAAUAACCGGGUUUAGCUGUCUCCAAACCAUUAUAUUGAAUUUACUAUCUAAGUGAAAAAGCUUAGGAUUUAAAAAAGGAGGAGAAGACCCUUAGAAUUUUUUUAAAAAGGAACAUAUUUUCCUUACAGUUUUAUUGGGGCGAUAAAGAAAUAAUUAAAACUUUCUUUUUUUAACAAGCCGAUUGUAUUAAGUAAGAAUAAAUUACCUGAGGGAUAACAGCAUAAUUCUAUAACUGAGUUUGUGACCUCGAUGUUGGACUAGGAAACCAGUAGGCUAGCCGUUUACUGUGUUAGGUUCUGUUCGAACUUUUAUUCCU
rnacentral:rRNA from 1 species